rnacentral:rRNA from 1 species
UACGGAGGGUGCAAACGUUGCUCGGAAUCAUUGGGCGUAAAGCGCACGUAGGCGGUUCGUUAUGUCGGAUGUGAAAGCCUCGGGCUUAACCCGAGAAGUGCAUCCGAAACUGGCGGGCUUGAGUACGGAAGAGGGUCUCGGAAUUCCCGGUGUAGAGGUGAAAUUCGUAGAUAUCGGGAGGAACACCAGUGGCGAAGGCGGAGACCUGGGCCGAUACUGACGCUGAGGUGCGAAAGCGUGGGGAGCAAACAGG